AUUCAUUUUUGACGCAUGGAAACCGUUAAUAAACUUCAACGACCAUGAUGAUAAUAAAAACACGUUAAUCCAUAAAGCUUGUUUAGUUUCAAAUUUAAAUUUAAUUUAUCUUCUUUUACAUUUAAAUGUUAACUUAAUAAAGUAUAAUGAGAAAUACGAACUGCCUUUACAUUGUACAAUUUAUAAUUGUGAUAGAUAUAUUUUUUUAUUACUGUUACAUAAUACGAUAGAAUAUAUAUUUUUUUAUUAUGUCGAAUUAUAUAAUGAUAAAAAGAGCGAAAAAAAACGUAUCAACAAUAAAAUAAAAAUAAAGGGUGGCAUCAAAAAACAUGUUUUUAGAUGUGUGAGAAGAAACGACAAAAAUGUUGUUAAUAAUGGUACCCAAAUUGGUAGUAACUUACAAAAACAGUUGAAUAGUAAAAAUAACAACGUCAAUUGCAAUAAUAAGUACAUUAAAAAUGGUUUUUUUUUUCAUAAAAAAGUGAACAAAAAAUUUAUAUUUACUAUUAUCAAAUUAUAUUUAAGUGUUAUAGUAAAAAUAAUAGAGUUAGGGAACUUCGAAUUUCUAAAAAUAUUAUUUAAUUAUAAUAAAUAUAUUUUUUGUUAUAUAUUAAAUCACUCAGAUAUGUUUUUAUUUUUGUGUUCAGUUGCAUCUAUAUACAACUGUGUUAACAAAUUUAUAACAUAUUAUGAUAAUAUAUUAAGUAAUAACGACAAUAGCUAUCUUUACAACUAUUCUUGUCAUAAAAAGAAACUGAAAAAGAGAAAAAACAAUGAUAAUAAUAAUAUGGCUAUUAAGAAAAACAAAAGAGAUGUUAAAGAAGAACAUGUGAUGAAUAUGGUCGAUGCACAAACGGAUGCUAAAACAUGCAAUGGUACAAACUACAGUAUUAACUGUAAUAUGGAUGAUAACACACAUGUGAACGAACAUGAUAACACAGCCAAUGCACAAUGCAAACUAAACGAACAAGCUAACGAUUGUACAAAUUUGUGUAUUAAAAAUGAUACAUUUGUAAAAAUACCAGUGAAGGAAAAACACGAGGUGUGUGCUAGUGCUAGUGCUAAUGUAAGCCUAAGUAACACGCACCAAAUACAGAAACACAAACACAACAGAACAACCGACUUUUUUAAAAGCUGUCAUGUUAAAAAAAGAAUAGACAAACAAAAUCACGUUGAAAUAUUUUACUCUUACGAAUGUUUGAAACAUAUUUUUGUACCUGAACCAAUUGAUGAACCUUAUAUAAGAAGUAAAAUAAAAAAUAAUAUACCUGAGAACUCAAGUAGGUUGGAUGUAUUAAUUGGUAAUGAACAUGGUAUAUUAAAAGCAAACACUUUUUUUAAUUUUCACAUGACAAAGUCAGAAAGAAAAGCAUGUCCUAGUGACCUAUUAAGAGUACACGAUAUUUCCUAUUUAAAAAUGUUAUUAGACAAAAUAAAAAUGUGUUAUGCAAAUACUUUUGAUUAUACUUUUUAUAAUAGUUUUUUACAAUUAACAAAAAAUAAACCAACAAAUUAUUUAUUAACGUCUGAAAAUUAUGUGCAAACUGAUAAUGAUGAAAAAAACGAGAGUGAACAUUUAAAAUUGUUAAAACAUAACACUAUCACUCUUAGUACUGUCUACAGUGACAAUGGCGAAAAAGGCAAUACCAGUAACCACCAUAAUACCAUACGUAGUAGUAGUAGUAGUAGUAGUGGUAAUAACACACAUAUGGAAAAAAGCAUAGAACCCAAUAACGUAUACUCUUUUAAUAACGAUACUAAUAGUGAUGUAUUAACAAAUGGUCAAACAACACAUGACAAUAAAAAAGAUGAACAAUCGUGUGAGUCCUUACCUCGAACAGAAAAAAUGCACCAAGAGAUUACUAGUAGUUAUGUAGGCUACGAACUAAAAACACAAGAACAGCCUAUGGCACACUGCGAAUUUAACGAGCACAUUGAACAAAGUAAAACAUCUAAGGAUAAUAUAUCGGUACUCGAUAAUAAAACAACAACCGUUGGAAAUCAUACAACAACGACAACAACAAUGACAACAACAACGACGACAAACUUUAACUGUGUAAGCCAAUGUGGCCAAGUACCAAGCGAUCACAACCAACUACCAAGCAACUACGAAAAUAUGCAAAACACCUCAGAAAUUAAAAAAAUAAAGCAAUUUAAUAGCAAUAGUAUUGUUCAUAAAGAAAAAACAGAAAAAUUGAUAUUAUUAGAUAACGACACCUUUGUCAAUAAACAUUCAUUUAAUUGUGCAUUAAGUGCAAGCGGUACUGUUUUAAAAGCGGUUGAUUAUAUA
ensembl:lncRNA